AGGUAUCUACCAACUGCUACCUCAAUUCUCAUAUUUGUGUUGUGUUGACAAAACCAAGUCAGAAGAAAAGAGCUGGAGGAGGACAUGUGAGUGGCUGACAGGGAUGGAGAAGUGUCAUUUACUUGGUUGUAGCAGUUGUGGGGAUUUCAUAGACUGAUUGGAAACGUGAUGCUUAGAUUCUUUUUAAAAGAUAGUCCAGUGAAACAUACUUACAUUAAAAAAAAAAAAAAAGAAAGAAAAGAAAACUUCCGUGUAUCUGAUAUUCAGAUUUCACCUGGGACCUGUAUUUCUAUUUGGCUAAUUUGGGCUACUCGCUACUCUAUCCUUGAGAAGACAAGAAAAAUAAGAAAUGGAAUAAGGUGAGGACCAGAAACUUUUUGUGUGACGCACUUUUGAAAGAUUGGUGUUCUGGAUCUACACGUUCUCACGCACUCUUUGGCCAUAGCAAUAGCGGCCACAUUCCCAGAUGCAUUUGGGAACAAUUCUCAGGAACAGUGAGAAUUCUGGUUCCAGCAUCCACAGAUAUGCAAAACCAAGUGAUCAGAUCAUAUACUUGAGUGGAAUGGCAAGAAUUGCAAGGGAGAGAGACAUUUUUCUCUCUGUAAGGCCCUGGCAUAAAAAUCAUGACAUAUGGAUAAAAAAUAUAGAGAUCAGAAAUGUAACCUGGCACGAGAAAAUUCUGAAGAAAAUAUUAAAAAAGAAUAAUAUCAUAGCUAUUAUAUAUGAAGUCCAGGAGACAUCAAUGACAUUGACAAAGAUAAGUAAGCCAGGACACAUUUUCAAGAGAAUUAAAAUUAGUUUACUUCAGGAUUGAAUCAGAAAGUCAUGAUUAUUUUAAGCUGGGGAACAUUUUAGACUUGAAACCAAAUUAAGUCGACCUGAGGCUCAAGUAAACAUCUUCCAAUUCAUUUGGAAUAUCAAACUAAAAUAAAGAGAUCAUUAUUGUCCCAAGAAAG